UGGAGUAGCAUGAAGCUGCAGCGUCGGAGACGACACUUGUAGAACCACACACACAGGUCCCGCGUCACGAGCACACACACAGGUCCCGCGUCACGGCGGCACGUGACGGAGCACGUUCACAUGAAUGUGAACGUCAACGCAGAGAAUAUGCAUAUUACAAUCCGAGAGGGGAGAUCCUUGCCGGACCUUCAACGGUGCACGACGUGUUGCAAUGACUUCCACUGCCCGUUCUGUGUCUCUCGUUUAUUCUCUCCAACAAAACACUGCAAGGUGAAAAGCCAUCUCGAGAGCCACUUCCAGCGUGCAGUUCUCCAUGAAGGUAAAGUUAGCUUACAUUCUCUUGUGAAAUGCAAAUGGAGUUGCAAUGUGUCUGCAUUAAAAGCAGCCUAAAUGUUAUGAUCAGUUCCAUUUGA